CGGGUGAGUAACACGUGGGUGAUCUGCCCCAAACUUUGGGAUAAGCCUGGGAAACUGGGUCUAAUACCGAAUAUGACCGAUACUCGCAUGGGUGUUGGUGGAAAGCUCCGGCGGUUUGGGAUGGGCCCGCGGCCUAUCAGCUUGUUGGUGGGGUAAUGGCCUACCAAGGCGACGACGGGUAGCCGGCCUGAGAGGGCGACCGGCCACACUGGGACUGAGACACGGCCCAGACUCCUACGGGAGGCAGCAGUGGGGAAUAUUGCACAAUGGGCGCAAGCCUGAUGCAGCGACGCCGCGUGAGGGAUGACGGCCUUCGGGUUGUAAACCUCUUUCACCAGGGACGAAGCGAAAGUGACGGUACCUGGAGAAGAAGCACCGGCCAACUACGUGCCAGCAGCCGCGGUAAUACGUAGGGUGCGAGCGUUGUCCGGAAUUACUGGGCGUAAAGAGCUCGUAGGCGGUUUGUCGCGUCGUUCGUGAAAACUUGGGGCUUAACUCCAAGCGUGCGGGCGAUACGGGCAGACUUGAGUACUACAGGGGAGACUGGAAUUCCUGGUGUAGCGGUGAAAUGCGCAGAUAUCAGGAGGAACACCGGUGGCGAAGGCGGGUCUCUGGGUAGUAACUGACGCUGAGGAGCGAAAGCGUGGGUAGCGAACAGGAUUAGAUACCCUGGUAGUCCACGCCGUAAACG
rnacentral:rRNA from 1 species